CAGGGACUCCAGUCCCUCACCAGAUGCCAAGCUGUGGGGAGCCCUCCCCCCCACAUCUUGGGUCCCUGGGCCCCCUCAUUAAGGCAGGGGCCCUGAGUGGCAGGGGCACCCCUGUGUGAAGAAUAGUGCCCCCCACAGCCCCCACAGGUCACCUUUCUGGGGACCUGGGGUCCUGCCCUGGGGACUGGGGUAAACAGGGCAGGUCCAGCCUUCAGCAGCCUCUCCCUGGAGGGGGAGACACCCCUCCCCCAUGGCUUCAGUGGAAUUACAAGGGGAACACCCAGGUGGUAUUCAGCAGAGGAGAAGAGGGGUGGGCUUCCAGGGUCCACAGACAGCUCGGGGAGCGGGGAGACAGGAAAAACUCAAGCUCAGCUUCUGCCUCCUGACCCCUGGGACCCUCGGGCAACCCCUCCAACUUCCUGGGAGUCCAGUUUCCCAAGGUAGAAUGGGCGGCAGCAGAGCCUGGCCCCGUGGUGGGCACAGCUCCCAGGCCAGUGGCUUGCGUUUCCUGGAGCCCUGAAGGUUCCCAGAGGGGCGAGAGCCCUUCUCCCUCCCACCUGCCCUCUUGCAGAACCCAGGGCUGCUCCCAGAGGCUGUCAGCUGGAGCCCUAGAAGGUAACCACCUCCUGGCUGGACACACAGAGGGCCAGUCGGGGCCAGGCGUGAGGACAGAUGCCUCAGGAGCCACCUGCUCUGCUCAUCCACGAAGGCCUUAACUGGCUCUGGGGCCCCUGAACUCCCAGUUAAGCCUCACCCUCCUGACCUUGUCCUGCCCUGGUGCUGCCAGUGGGGUGGCAGGUGGCGGUGGGUGUCCGAGGGCCAGCUGGUCUCCUGGCAACUGCAGCCCGAGCUUGGCUUCCAUUCACCCGUUCCUUCCUUCGCUCUCGCGGGAGGCAUUGCAAGGCUCAGAGCUCCUGGAGCUUCCCGUCUUUGGCGUGAGUGAAGCAGGAGGGUGUCUCUUCCAUCAGACCUGGAGCUUCCAGCUCACUUUCUCCAAAGCUCCAGAGCCUGGCCCAAGGCUGGGCUGUGCCCUGUCCUUAGUGAAAGAAUGGAUGAGUCACAACUCAGUGAAGAGAGCUGAGCAAGUGUUUCCCUUAGGGCUCCCCAGGCAGUUUCAGCCCAGGGGAAGACCCAGGGAGAUGAAGGCGACCUUGCAGGCUGCGGCGGGUGUGGAGGCAGCAGCCUGGGGCAGGGACUGUGCUGAGUGCCUGAGGCCGAGCCACCCCUCUGUAGCCUCCAUCAUCCAUCAGGUCUCAGAGGGCUGCCCUGUGUUCAGUAAGCCAAUGCCAACACCAUGUGACGAAGAUACAGCAGUGAGCAGCUGCCCAACCCCCUUGCGCUGUGUUUGAAAAAAGAAGCUGGCUUAUUCAGGGGUUCCCAGUGGGAUGGGGGCGGGGGCAGGGACCAUGGCAGAGCGAGAGUUCCACAGGCUCCCUGGCCCGGGUGCUGUGCCAGGCAGGGUGCUGGGCAUUGCCCUGCUCAUUUCCCACCCCUGGGUUGCAGCUGGGAACUGUGUGGCCUUCACAGUCCUGUGAGGUGGGUGCUGUGCUGUGCCCACCUUACAGAUGAGAAAACUGAUGUUCAGAGGCCUGAGUGACCUAGUCAAGGACCUGCCCUUACAAGCAGAUUCGGGACUCAGGGAAGAGCUCCCUGACCACAAAGCCCCAGGUGACUCACACUGCAGGGAUGCUGAGCUCCAAGGUGUGCAGGGUGGCAGAGAUUCGUCUGCAGAGACAUCUCUGCCUGGGACCCUUUCCUGGGGCUCCUAAGGUGCUAGGAGUGUGAGCACCAUGAGAGCCCACUGCAGUCAUGCCACCCAGAGGGUACUCUGGCCUCUCGGUCACCUGUGUGCUUCUGACAAUGACCAAUACACUUACCUGCCAGGGUCCAGAAUGACUCAGCCAUUGGAGUCUGUAUUUCCUGAAUCCGCCUCUCACUGGCAAGUCCUGAGCCCGCUUCCUUCCCAGCACCACCGUUGGAGCAGUUACCCAGGACUGCACUGCGGCUGCUGAGGUCAGGGAGAGACCCUGUGCUCCGGCCAGGGGCGUUGGGGGCUCGGUUGGGACUGACGCACCAAGCGAGUUGUGCUGAGUGUUGAGGCUUCUUCUGGGAAGGUAUUUUCAAUCACCAAAUGUGCCAUUAAAAAAAUACGUGUCAGUUACGUGUGCACUAAGCCUGGACCACAUGGGACAUUGUCGUUCCAAUAAACACGAAUAAGCCAGUUUUCACAUUAGAGAAAUAACAGUUUCUGUACAAAUGCGGUGCUUUUAGAAGAGGUUAAUUAAUAAACAGCAGGUAAUUGUUCGUGGCACAUUGUGGCAGAGGGUAAUUUUCAUUUUAGAGGAUGGAAGGGCCAAAUACCCCUCCCCACUUAGCAUUUUUCUGUAAUAAUCACCUCGGCUUCACCUCUGCCUUUCAUUUUUACAGCUGGAGUUGCUUAUCAUCGCUCCAACGUUCACUAAAAAGGAAAAACUAUCAUUUAAACAAAGCUAUCGAAAACCCAGCAUCAUUUGUGGACUUUUUAACAUAAAUAAAUCAUACAAACUAAGAUUUAUGUUCAUGGAAUGAUGUCAUUCAUUGAAGGCCGCCUUCCCAGUCAAAUCCGUGUUCAGUGAUUUUGCUUUGAUGGGGUAUGCUUUUUGCUAAGUAGGAAAAACCCGUUCGGUCAUCCUUGCUGCUGUCUUUUCUCACUCUGGCCCAGGACAUCAGAAAGGUUUCUCCCUGGGCCAGUCCACAGAGCCAAGUCCAAAUGGUGAAAAUGGUUUUAACUCCAUAGACUGCUUUUAAACCAUAAGUCUGAGAUUAGGACUGUUGAACCUUCCCUAAGAAUUUGUGCAAACCUCAGCAGAAGUUAUCGUCCUCCCAGGUCUCCCAGAACCUAGAGUGCGUCUCAUUGCAGAGUAACACAUCUGCAGAAGCUUCACCAAAUUGAAAUGAGUGAGGAACAUUAACAUCAGCACAUGCUGCCUAUCCCUGCAAUGCAAUAUUGUGUCACCAUGGAAAGGAGUGGAGAUCUGACACUUGCUACGUGAAUGAACCUUGAAAACAUGAUGCUCCCUGAAAGAAGUCAGUCAUAAAAGGUCACACAUUUUGUGAUUCCAUUUCUUUGAGAUGUCCAAGAUGGGCCAAUCCAUACAGACUGAGGCAGGUUUGUGGUUGCCUGGCUGUGGAAGUAGAGGCAGUGGCACCCUGGGCCAAUGAAGACACCAGAACAGAUGGGCCACACCAGAGUCCAGCUCCAACCCACCAGGCAUUGACAGCAGACCAUUAGCUGGAAGCCAGUGGGACGUCAGGCUUACUAAUAGGGGCAGGUGUCCACCAGGCUGCAGUGAAGCUUCCAUUUGUCCACGCAACAUGCUUCAUGCUUGCUAUGUGCCAGGGACAGCCAUAGGCCCUGGGGCUGCCACAGUGAUGGAGACAGACGCUGCUCCCAUCAAGCUCAUGUUUUCAUGGGGAAAGCAGCAAUAUACAUAAGGGUCUGAUGUGCCAGGCUAGAUGAUUCUAGUGCAAUGGACACAAAGGAGGAGAGAGGUGAAGGCACAAAUUUCAAUCGGUUGUUCAAGAAGGGCCUCACUGAUGUGGUGACAUUUGGGCAGAGACAUGAGGGAGUGAUGAGGGAGCCACCCACGUGUCUGGGAGAACAGCAGUGGGGCAGAGGGAACAGCCACUGUGAAGGCCCUGAGGCUCCAGUGACCAGUGUGGCUGAUGCAGAAGGACAGGGAGGGGAGGAGGUGAAACCACGUAGCGUCAGUGGGAGGACAAAUUAAGGAAUUAAAGUUGCACUCUCUGCUGAUUUUAAAGUAGGGAGAUGAUUCUGGAUUAUCUGAGUGGGCUUAAUGUCCUGACUCUCCUGCCUCCCUCCUCCACUUUUAAGGGUCACAAGGCUCCAAAAGUGGAAGAGGGAGACAGGAGAGUCAGGGUCAGGAUGGAGAGGAGAAAUGUGAGAAUAUGAGGAAGAUUCCUCCGGCUGUGCUGGUUCUGAAGACAGAGGAAGGGGCCGUGAGCCAUGGGUGAAUACAGACUCUAGAAGCUAAAAAAAAGGCAAAGAAAUGGAUUUUAGAGCCUCCAGCAAGGGAGGCAGUGCUGCCCAUGCCUCAACUUUAGGGCACUGAGAUCCAUUUUAGACUUCUGACCCACAAAACCAAAACCUAGUAAGUAUGUGCUAUUUGAAGUUGCUAAGUUUGUAGUAAUUUGUUAGAGCAGCCACCAGAAAUUAAUAUGGGGAGGAAAUGGGGAUUUCAUCUGUCCAUGGUCAAGACAUUCAGGGUGUGGUAAGAAUCUGAGCCUGCCUCACCUACAUGAGAAUGAGAGAGUAAUGACCACAGAAUAGUGGUAAUGGCAGUCCACAUAUCUGGCUCCUUAGCCACUCAUGGCAACAUGGACUGGCUGCCUUCUAUGUCCUGCCCGUGGCCAUUCUUUAGGGAAAUUCCUUUGCAUCUCCUGCUACCUUUACAGACUACGUAUCUUGUUGGAUUACUUUCUCAUUUUCAUGAAGCAUAUCUUCUGGUAACUUCUGAUAAAAGAUGCAUAGAAGAUACAUAUUUUAGGACUUCUGCAGUACCAGAAGGAUAGUUGAGCUGGGUAUAGAAAUGCUUUGUUAGUUCUUCCUACUCUCUGUUUUCUUUCUUCUUUAUUUUUUGAACUUGAUACUUAUAUGAGCUUUCUUCUGCCAUUUAAUCUGUGUGUCCUCCAAUUGGCUUUGUUCUAUCUGUUUCGAUAUGUCUUUCCUGAGGCAUCUGCUGAUCCUAUGCUUUCUGCCCAUGAUGAGGAGCUGACUAGAAGAUCUGACAGUGAGAAAGGAGGGAUACAUUGUCCUUGAGCCUCAUGGAUGGGGAUGAUCCUGAGAACCUUGGAUGCCAGUUAUCUUUAGGAACCGACCUGAUUACCAGAGAAGUUACCCAAGGAGUGAGGGAGGGGUCUGGUUGCCAGUCUUCUUGGAGUCAACGUGGAGUUGAAGGAAAGGGUCUUUGAAGUCAGCUGCCUGAAUUCUGGGAAAUAAACUUCUGGACUUUUGCUGGCGUUGGGGAGGAGUGGUCACUCAGGGAAGAUAAGGAGGGUAUAGGAAUCUAACUGGGUCAUAGGCCCCUUUCACUCUAGCCUUCCUGAUCAUAGCCACCCUUGCACCCCAAGUCCUAGAGGUACUCUUACACCCAGCCCUCAGUGUUGGAGUUCCCCUUGGUUACAAAGCUGGUAAAAUAUCACCUUCUUUCUCUCUAGUCAGGACUUUCUCUUGUCUCUGACCCAGUUGCCAUAGGCCCAGGUCCAUCAGCAAUUCAGCUUUCAGAAAGGAGGCCCACCCUCACGGGUUCAAGAACAGUCCCUAGUCUGUCACUCCCAGUCCUGUGACCCUGGGCAUAGGACCCAAGAAAGAGAGGUGAUACCCACCUCUCAGGAUUGCUGCCCAGAACAAAUAAAGUGAUGGGCUUUAUAGAAACAGCAUAACCAUACUGUGAUCAUUUACCCUCUUUCUUGGAAGGUGGAUUCCUUCCAGAAGAUGCCCUAAGCAUUGGUCCAGCUGCCUCUCAGCCCAACCCUGACCAGCCGUGGGGAGCCACGCCCAUCCCAGAGGUAUGCCUGCUGGGUGGCAAUGGGGCCUAAGAGGACCAGGGUCUGUGGGGGUCCAUAUGCUGGCAGAGGAGCCAGCUGCUCCUCGGGUUGGGACCAAGGAGGGGAACCAAGGUUUACCUGCCUGCUUUGCCUCAGUGAUGGCCAGAACCAUGCCCAUUGGGAUGGCUGUGGUCCAGAGAGAGGGCAUCCCAUCCACCCAGGCCCCUCUGCCAAUGAAUAUGCCUGUGAGAGGCUUAGGGGCUUGGGAAAAGGGGCUGUAUUUAAAAAUUAAAUGGUUCUCAGUGUAACAGCAGUACACGGGGCCGUGCUGAGGCAGGGGGCCUGAGGGAAUGAGGACCUUAGGCAGGACUCUCCUUCCGUGUUCCAGAUAUGGUACCAUCCAGCACCUCCUUCUCAGACUGAUGAAAGUUUGUGAUUAUAUCCCCCUAGUAUUUGACUUGCCUUGUCAUUUUCUUAACACUAUCCUUUGAAGAACCAACAUUUAAAUUUUAGCAACAUCCUAUUUUUUUUUCAUUUGUGAUUCGUGCUUUUGUUUUUGCCUUGUUUAAAAAAUGCUUUGCCUCACUCAAGGUCACCAAGAUUUUCUGCUAUGUUUUCUUCAUUGUUUUGCAUAUUUAUAGUUUUCAUUCUUAUAUUUAGAUAUAGGAUCUGUUUCAAGUUAGUUUUUUUAUGUGGUGUGAGGUAAGGGUUGACGUUAAUUUCUUUGCAUUUAAGUAUCCAAUUGUUGCAGUAUUAUGUGUUGAGAAGUUUAUGACUUUCCCAUUGAAUUGCUUUGGCAAACUUGUCAAAAAGUAAUUGGCCGUAUAUGUGUAGGUCUAUUUGUGGACUCUGUUCCAUUGAUCUGUGUGUCUCUCCUUUUGCCAAUUCCACGCCGUCUUGAUCACUACAGCUUUAUGAUAGCCAUGAGUAUAGUGUAAGUCUUCCAACUUUUGUCUUGUUUUUCAACAACGUUUUAGGCUAUUUUAAGUCCUUUGCAUCUCCACAUAAACAUUAAAACUAACUUGUCAACUUCUAAAAAAAAAAAAAAA